rnacentral:rRNA from 1 species
GAUGAACGCUGGCGGCGUGCCUAAUACAUGCAAGUCGAGCGAACGGACGAGAAGCUUGCUUCUCUGAUGUUAGCGGCGGACGGGUGAGUAACACGUGGAUAACCUACCUAUAAGACUGGGAUAACUUCGGGAAACUGGAGCUAAUACCGGAUAAUAUUUUGAACCGCAUGGUUCAAAAGUAAAAGACGGUCUUGCUGUCACUUAUAGAUGGAUCCGCGCUGCAUUAGCUAGUUGGUAAGGUAACGGCUUACCAAGGCAACGAUGCAUAGCCGACCUGAGAGGGUGAUCGGCCACACUGGAACUGGGACACGGUCCAGACUCCUACGGGAGGCAGCAGUAGGGAAUCUUCCGCAAUGGGCGAAAGCCUGACGGAGCAACGCCGCGUGAGUGAUGAAGGUCUUCGGAUCGUAAAACUCUGUUAUUAGGGAAGAAUAUAUGUGUAAGUAACUGUGCACAUCUUGACGGUACCUAAUCAGAAAGCCACGGCUAACUACGUGCCAGCAGCCGCGGUAAUACGUAGGUGGCAAGCGUUAUCCGGAAUUAUUGGGCGUAAAGCGCGCGUAGGCGGUUUUUUAAGUCUGAUGUGAAAGCCCACGGCUCAACCGUGGAGGGUCAUUGGAAACUGGAAAACUUGAGUGCAGAAGAGGAAAGUGGAAUUCCAUGUGUAGCGGUGAAAUGCGCAGAGAUAUGGAGGAACACCAGUGGCGAAGGCGACUUUCUGGUCUGUAACUGACGCUGAUGUGCGAAAGCGUGGGGAUCAAACAGGAUUAGAUACCCUGGUAGUCCACGCCGUAAACGAUGAGUGCUAAGUGUUAGGGGGUUUCCGCCCCUUAGUGCUGCAGCUAACGCAUUAAGCACUCCGCCUGGGGAGUACGACCGCAAGGUUGAAACUCAAAGGAAUUGACGGGGACCCGCACAAGCGGUGGAGCAUGUGGUUUAAUUCGAAGCAACGCGAAGAACCUUACCAAAUCUUGACAUCCUUUGACAACUCUAGAGAUAGAGCCUUCCCCUUCGGGGGACAAAGUGACAGGUGGUGCAUGGUUGUCGUCAGCUCGUGUCGUGAGAUGCUGGGUUAAGUCCCGCAACGAGCGCAACCCUUAAGCUUAGUUGCCAUCAUUAAGUUGGGCACUCUAAGUUGACUGCCGGUGACAAACCGGAGGAAGGUGGGGAUGACGUCAAAUCAUCAUGCCCCCUAUGAUUUGGGCUACACACGUGCUACAAUGGACAAUACAAAGGGCAGCGAAACCGCGAGGUCAAGCAAAUCCCAUAAAGUUGUUCUCAGUUCGGAUUGUAGUCUGCAACUCGACUACAUGAAGCUGGAAUCGCUAGUAAUCGUAGAUCAGCAUGCUACGGUGAAUACGUUCCCGGGUCU